AAAGCGCGCGUAGGCGGUUGUGUAAGUUGGGUGUGAAAUCCCCGGGCUCAACCUGGGAAUUGCAUUCAAAACUGCACGGCUAGAGUAUGGGAGAGGAAGGUAGAAUUCCAGGUGUAGCGGUGAAAUGCGUAGAUAUCUGGAGGAAUACCGAUGGCGAAGGCAGCCUUCUGGCCUAAUACUGACGCUGAGGUGCGAAAGCAUGGGGAGCAAACAGGAUUAGAUACCCCUGU
rnacentral:rRNA from 1 species